CAUCAGGUGUUGUCCUGCACUAGACCCUCAGGACAUUUAGCCAGAUGAAGAUCUCCUCUGCAGCUUCAACCUCAAAUUGGUGGAGUUUUUGGAGACACUUUCCUCACAUUUUGAAGAGCAGAGAUGUUCUCUUCUUCCUCCUGGAAUUCAGGUUUUGGUGUUCAUCUCCAUCACUG